GUAAUGCCUAGGAAAUUGCCCUGAUGUGGGGGAUAACCAUUGGAAACGAUGGCUAAUACCGCAUGAUGCCUACGGGCCAAAGAGGGGGACCUUCGGGCCUCUCGCGUCAGGAUAUGCCUAGGUGGGAUUAGCUAGUUGGUGAGGUAAGGGCUCACCAAGGCGACGAUCCCUAGCUGGUCUGAGAGGAUGAUCAGCCACACUGGAACUGAGACACGGUCCAGACUCCUACGGGAGGCAGCAGUGGGGAAUAUUGCACAAUGGGCGCAAGCCUGAUGCAGCCAUGCCGCGUGUGUGAAGAAGGCCUUCGGGUUGUAAAGCACUUUCAGUCGUGAGGAAGGUAGUGUAGUUAAUAGCUGCAUUAUUUGACGUUAGCGACAGAAGAAGCACCGGCUAACUCCGUGCCAGCAGCCGCGGUAAUACGGAGGGUGCGAGCGUUAAUCGGAAUUACUGGGCGUAAAGCGCAUGCAGGUGGUUUGUUAAGUCAGAUGUGAAAGCCCGGGGCUCAACCUCGGAAUUGCAUUUGAAACUGGCAGACUAGAGUACUGUAGAGGGGGGUAGAAUUUCAGGUGUAGCGGUGAAAUGCGUAGAGAUCUGAAGGAAUACCGGUGGCGAAGGCGGCCCCCUGGACAGAUACUGACACUCAGAUGCGAAAGCGUGGGGAGCAAACAGGAUUAGAUACCCUGGUAGUCCACGCCGUAAACGAUGUCUACUUGGAGGUUGUGGCCUUGAGCCGUGGCUUUCGGAGCUAACGCGUUAAGUAGACCGCCUGGGGAGUACGGUCGCAAGAUUAAAACUCAAAUGAAUUGACGGGGGCCCGCACAAGCGGUGGAGCAUGUGGUUUAAUUCGAUGCAACGCGAAGAACCUUACCUACUCUUGACAUCCAGAGAACUUUCCAGAGAUGGAUUGGUGCCUUCGGGAACUCUGAGACAGGUGCUGCAUGGCUGUCGUCAGCUCGUGUUGUGAAAUGUUGGGUUAAGUCCCGCAACGAGCGCAACCCUUAUCCUUGUUUGCCAGCGAGUAAUGUCGGGAACUCCAGGGAGACUGCCGGUGAUAAACCGGAGGAAGGUGGGGACGACGUCAAGUCAUCAUGGCCCUUACGAGUAGGGCUACACACGUGCUACAAUGGCGCAUACAGAGGGCAGCCAACUUGCGAAAGUGAGCGAAUCCCAAAAAGUGCGUCGUAGUCCGGAUUGGAGUCUGCAACUCGACUCCAUGAAGUCGGAAUCGCUAGUAAUCGUGGAUCAGAAUGCCACGGUGAAUACGUUCCCGGGCCUUGUACACACCGCCCGUCACACCAUGGGAGUGGGCUGCAAAAGAAGUAGGUAGUUUAACCUUCGGGGGGACGCUUACCACUUUGUGGUUCAUGACUGGGGUGAAGUCGUAACAAGGUAGCGCUAGGGGAACCUGGCGCUGGAU
rnacentral:rRNA from 1 species